GAUGAACGCUGGCGGCGUGCCUAAUACAUGCAAGUCGAGCGAACAGACGAGGAGCUUGCUCCUCUGACGUUAGCGGCGGACGGGUGAGUAACACGUGGAUAACCUACCUAUAGGACUGGGAUAACUUCGGGAAACCGGAGCUAAUACCGGAUAAUAUAUUGAACCGCAUGGUUCAAUAGUGAAAGACGGUUUUGCUGUCACUUAUAGAUGGAUCCGCGCCGCAUUAGCUAGUUGGUAAGGUAACGGCUUACCAAGGCGACGAUGCGUAGCCGACCUGAGAGGGUGAUCGGCCACACUGGAACUGAGACACGGUCCAGACUCCUACGGGAGGCAGCAGUAGGGAAUCUUCCGCAAUGGGCGAAAGCCUGACGGAGCAACGCCGCGUGAGUGAUGAAGGUCUUCGGAUCGUAAAACUCUGUUAUUAGGGAAGAACAAAUGUGUAAGUAACUAUGCACGCCUUGACGGUACCUAAUCAGAAAGCCACGGCUAACUACGUG
rnacentral:rRNA from 1 species